GCGGCUAUGCCGGGGUUCUGGAGUGCGUCGGAUUGUCUGCGGGCCUCUGUUUGGAUAAGGCCGUGUGUCCAUUGUCUCCGAUGCCCCAGCUGGACCGAGGUAUGCCUCCAUGCUCCUGAAAUAGACGGACAGCUGAGGGCUGCCAUGCAUACCGAGGGCAGGACCGGCCACGCGGGCCGAGCUCCUCUGACCCGCACCGCAACUUAGCACAAUGAGAGAUGGGGUAUUGUCUGGAGCCAGAGCGCAAUGUCAGAGGCCCCCCAGGCACCUAAACCGCUAAAAGACUGAUUAACUCUUGCUGCGUGUUGCUAUCGGCUGUGUGUGUGUGUGUGUGUGUGUGUGAGACUGAUGAAGGUUGGGUGGCGGUGGUGGGGGAGCGAGUAAUUGGGGCUUUGGAGUGUGUUUGUGCCACGCGUCUGCCCGUCUCCACGCCGCUGAGCUGGCGGCUAAGACCUGAGCCCACACAGUUGCUGCAAGGUUACUGUGCUACGGCAAUGAAACGGCGACCUUUGAGGGCCGAAAACAGCCGCUUUACAGAGGAAAGAAAGCAGGAAGCGUACAGGGGAGCUGGAGGGCCCCACAAGGUCCAAAACACAUUUCAUCAGAGGAAUAAAGGAAUAAAGCGGCGCAAACCCACAUCGGACAGCGUAGAGAGAGCAGCUGACCCAGCAGCCAUGACUUCUGACCGUGGCAGGAAGCCAGAGAGAACCCGGAGGGAGAACAUGCAGAACAUCUGAAACCAAGAGCUAAUGGCUGCACG